UACGUAGGUGGCAAGCGUUAUCCGGAUUUAUUGGGUUUAAAGGGUGCGUAGGCGGGUUAUCAAGUCAGCGGUAAAAUCGUGGAGCUCAACUCCAUCCAGCCGUUGAAACUGAUGAUCUUGAGUGGGCGAGAAGUAUGCGGAAUGCGUGGUGUAGCGGUGAAAUGCAUAGAUAUCACGCAGAGCUCCGAUUGCGAAGGCAGCAUACCGGCGCCCGACUGACGCUGAAGCACGAAAGCGUGGGUAUCGAACAGG
rnacentral:rRNA from 1 species